ACGAACGCUGGCGGCGUGCCUAAUACAUGCAAGUCGAACGGUCUUUCUAUGGAAGCUUGCUUCCACUGAAAAGAUAGUGGCGAACGGGUGAGUAACACGUGGGUAACCUGCCCAUAAGAGGGGGGAUAACAUCCGGAAACGGGUGCUAAUACCGCAUAGUUUUCUUGAUCGCAUGAUCGGGAAAGGAAAGACGGCCUUUGUGCUGUCGCUUAUGGAUGGACCCGCGGCGUAUUAGUUAGUUGGUGAGGUAACGGCUCACCAAGACGAUGAUACGUAGCCGACCUGAGAGGGUGAUCGGCCACAUUGGGACUGAGACACGGCCCAAACUCCUACGGGAGGCAGCAGUAGGGAAUCUUCCGCAAUGGACGAAAGUCUGACGGAGCAACGCCGCGUGAGUGAAAGAAGGUUUUCGGAUCGUAAAACUCUGUUGUCAGAGAAGAACAAGUUGGAGAGUAACUGCUCCAGCCUUGACGGUAUCUGACCAGAAAGCCACGGCUAACUACGUGCCAGCCGCGGC
rnacentral:rRNA from 1 species